rnacentral:rRNA from 1 species
AUGUCUGAGGAAAUGAAACAGAAAUUUGACAAAUAUAGGAAAGAUGUACAUGGACUUAUGUCUGUUGCAACUGUUCUUGAUCCAAGGUACAAACUUCAUAUGUUGCAAGCUCUGUUUGGUUCUCUCUAUGGAAUUGAAUAUGCAGAUGUUAAAGUUGAUGAAGUAAGGAAGUUAAUGGCUAAUCUGUUGGAGCAAUAUCGAGAAGAUGUUGAAGUUGUGGCUACAUCGGAGGCUAUGGACACUGAUGUCGCAGAAGUUGAUGGAGUUGAUGAUGUAAUGAACAUCUUUGAUCAAUAUAUGUCCUCAAAACCUACGAUUUGUGCUUCUCAAGUUCGGACAGAAUUAGACUUGUACUUGGAAGAGCAAACCAUCAAGAGAGUACCAGACAAAGAUAUGGACAUCAUAAAUUGGUGGAAAGUUGCAGGUGCAAAGUAUCCUACUUUGCAAAAGAUUGCUCAUGAUAUACUGCCUAUCCCUGUGGCAUCGGUGGCAUCAGAAUCAGCGUUUAGUACUAGUGGCAGGCUACUUAGUUCACAUCAUAGCCGACUUGUGCCAAGUAUGGCUGAAGCACUCAUGUGCAUGCAAUCUUGGUCCCGUGCUGACAUGAUAGGAUGA